AAAGAGGACCAGACUCCAACAAGCUGUGACUCCAUCUAAACGGAACAGUGGGAAAAGCCUUACAGAUCUUGCUGAAAACCAGGAGGACACAUACUCAGCUAC